UACGGGGGGGGCAAGCGUUGUUCGGAAUUGCUGGGCGUAAAGGGUCUGUAGGUGGCCAACUAAGUCAGACGUGAAAUCCCUCAGCUUAACUGGGGAACUGCGUCUGAGACUGGAUGGCUUGAGUGCAGGAGAGGAACGCGGAAUUCCAGGUGUAGCGGUGAAAUGCGUAGAUAUCUGGAGGAACACCGGUGGCGAAGGCGGCGUUCUGGACUGCAACUGACGCUGAGACGCGAAAGCGUGGGGAGCAAACAGG
rnacentral:rRNA from 1 species